CCUACGUGAGGCAGCAGUGAGGAAUAUUGGUCAAUGGGCGCGAGCCUGAACCAGCCAAGUCGCGUGAGGGAGGACGGCCCUACGGGUUGUAAACCUCUUUUGCCGGGGAGCAACGGGCGCCACGUGUGGCGUCACUGAGAGUACCCGGAGAAAAGCAUCGGCUAACUCCGUGCCAGCAGCCGCGGUAAUACGGAGGAGGCGAGCGUUAUCCGGAUUGAUUGGGUUUAAAGGGUGCGUAGGCGGAGCGUUAAGUCAGUGGUCAAAUUGAGGGGCUCAACCCCUUCCCGCCAUUGAAACUGGCGCUCUUGAGUGGAAGAGAAGUAUGCGGAAUGCGUGGUGUAGCGGUGAAAUGCAUAGAUAUCACGCAGAACCCCGAUUGCGAAGGCAGCAUGCCGGCUUCCUACUGACGCUGAAGCACGAAAGCGUGGGGAUCGAACAGGAUUAGAUACCCGGGUAGUC
rnacentral:rRNA from 1 species